UUGAGGCCGGGAGCCUGGUUGAUGCCAUGAGAUGGAUUGAUAUUACGCUUGGGCUGUAAGAGCCCCUCCGGAGUCUGUAUACACCCGCAGUGAGCGUUGUCGUUUUUAAAUGAAUCGGGUUGCACGCCGCAACGGGUACUAGAGUGUACCUUAUUAUGUGUUGCAUUUCAUACAUGCAUUUGUUUUUUAUCUGGUUUACCUGUCAUAGUAUUUCUGGACUCUUAUUUCAUUGACUCGUUGCUUUAUUAUUAAAUGCUCUAAGUUGCCAUUUGUAGUUCACUUUGCGUUUAUCCAUGAUUACUUAUUCUCAGCCUUUAUUUAUUUUUGUUAUUUACUAGGUCGGAGUACUCACAUUACUCCAUGCACCUUGCAUGCAGAUCCAGGUGCAUCACAGGCUGAGUGAGGUCAUUAGCUGAGCAGUGCAGUGUCUUGUGAGCAUCGAGGUAGCGGCAUGGCAUUCGUAGCCUUGAUCUCUCCCCUCUAUCUCUAUCUUUUAUUAAGCUUUUUCUUAGAAAAACUUGUAGUAGGUUGAGAUUAUAUAUUAGACAUUCAAAUUCGUGACACCAGAUUCCAUUUGGGGCUAUGUUGCUGUAUUUUAUUAAGC
rnacentral:lncRNA from 1 species